rnacentral:rRNA from 1 species
ACGCACGUGUGAAACUUGAAGGAAUUGACGGAAGGGCACCACAAGAACGCGUGGAGCAUGUGGCUUAAUUUGACUCAACGCGGGAAAUCUUACCGGGUCCGGACACACUGAGGAUUGACAGGCAAUAUUAGCAAGAACUAAACUUGUUUAGUUUCUUGUUAUGUUAAAUAUGCUAGUCCUUUCAUGAUUAUGUGAUAGGUGGUGCAUGGCCGUUCUUAGUUCGUGGAGUGAUCUGUCUGCUUAAUUGCGUUUCACUAAGGGCCUAUAAUUUAACGUGUGUUGCGGCACUUUGACCCCUCUUCGGAGCGCGUGUCUUAGUUUGUUUAGCUCACACAAUUAUUGCCUGAGAGCAACGAACGUGACCG